rnacentral:tRNA from 1 species
ACCUGGGUGGCUUAGUCAUUUAAGCGUCUGAUUUCAGCUCAGGUUGUGAUUCCACAAUUUGUGGGUUUGAGUUCCACAUCAGGCU